UGGGGAAUAUUGGACAAUGGGCGCAAGCCUGAUCCAGCCAUGCCGCGUGGGUGAUGAAGGCCCUAGGGUUGUAAAGCCCUUUCGGCGGGGAAGAUAAUGACGGUACCCGCAGAAGAAGCCCCGGCUAACUUCGUGCCAGCAGCCGCGGUAAUACGAAGGGGGCUAGCGUUGCUCGGAAUCACUGGGCGUAAAGCGCACGUAGGCGGAUUGCUAAGUCAGGGGUGAAAUCCUGGAGCUCAACUCCAGGACUGCCUUUGAUACUGGCGAUCUGGAGUCCGGGAGAGGUGAGUGGAACUGCGAGUGUAGAGGUGAAAUUAGUAGAUAAUCGCAAGAAAACCAGUGGCGAAGGCGGGUCACUGGCCCGGUACUGACGCUGAGGUGCGAAAGCGUGGGGAGCAAACAGG
rnacentral:rRNA from 1 species